AAUAGAUACCCCGGUAGUCCACGCCCUAAACGAUGCGAACUGGAUGUUGGGUGCAAUUUGGCACGCAGUAUCGAAGCUAACGCGUUAAGUUCGCCGCCUGGGGAGUACGGUCGCAAGACUGAAACUCAAAGGAAUUGACGGGGGCCCGCACAAGCGGUGGAGUAUGUGGUUUAAUUCGAUGCAACGCGAAGAACCUUACCUGGCCUUGACAUGUCGAGAACUUUCCAGAGAUGGAUUGGUGCCUUCGGGAACUCGAACACAGGUGCUGCAUGGCUGUCGUCAGCUCGUGUCGUGAGAUGUUGGGUUAAGUCCCGCAACGAGCGCAACCCUUGUCCUUAGUUGCCAGCACGUAAUGGUGGGAACUCUAAGGAGACCGCCGGUGACAAACCGGAGGAAGUGGGGAUGACGNCGAAGUCAUCAUGGCCCCUUACGGCCAGGGCUACGACACGUACUACAAUGGUAGGGACAGAGGGCUGCAAGCCGGCGACGGUAAGCCAAUCCCAGAAACCCUAUCUCAGUCCGGAUUGG
rnacentral:rRNA from 1 species